UGGAAGGUGGCCAGACUCGAUUUGUGUUUUUAGCAGACUCUGCAGUCAGGACUUGGGAUCUGGACCACAGGAAGGGAGAGCGACAGCUGGGAUGUGACCAUUUUCACUGCAGGGCACCUGGGAAGGGGAGAGGGCGUGAAGUGGCCCAGACGUGGCUUUCCAUUGGUGACCUCGUGCCCCACUCUCCACUGCCCCUGCCACGGCCCGGAGUGAUGAGCCACCUCCGCUCUGACCUCACCUCCUCCCAGCUCCCUGACUCCUUCGGCGGGGGGCCUGGCCAGCUUGUUCGGCCACUCUGGGCUCCAGGCUCUUCAACUGGAAAGAGAUGCUUGUGGAGUUCCUCAUGGCAAGUCUGGGCAAGCCAGCCUGACGGCCAGCCUGCGACUCCUUGUCCAGAACUCUGUCAACUCCACCAGUGCCUGUCACGGAAACCGCAUGGCCACCAGCUUCAGGUGACAGGCCUCUUGCCUGGGUGAUGAGCUUCCCAGGCCCAUGCUAUGGUGUGCGCUUUUUCACAGGAAGAG
rnacentral:lncRNA from 10 species